UACGUAGGGUGCGAGCGUUGUCCGGAAUUAUUGGGCGUAAAGAGCUCGUAGGCGGUUUGUCGCGUCGACUGUGAAAACCUACAGCUUAACUGUGGGCUUGCAGUCGAUACGGGCAGACUUGAGUUCGGUAGGGGAGACUGGAAUUCCUGGUGUAGCGGUGAAAUGCGCAGAUAUCAGGAGGAACAGCCGGUGGCGAAGGCGGGUCUCUGGGCCGAUACUGACGCUGAGGAGCGAAAGCGUGGGGAGCGAACAGG
rnacentral:rRNA from 1 species